GCAACUAAAAGACCCAAAAGGAGGCAAGCCCAGAGAUGAGUGAAAUUGCUCUUAGGGUAGGUACAUCAUCUUCAACCACGAAAAGUGCGUGAUGAAGAACUUCAUUCUGAACCAUAAUCUAACAUCCCCCCACAAGCUAAGCGUGGGGUUGAGACAUGAUUAGCUUGGAAAAAAGAUAUUGGAUGUGAUGUACUCAGAGAGGCUUUGUGAGAAGGUCCGCAAGUUGGUCAAUUGAAGGCAUGUGGAAUCAUGAUCCUGAUUAAAAGGAUGCUGAGCAAAUGUAUGAGAAUUAUGCUGAUGUUGAUCCUGAGUGGAUGCUAUAUCACAAACGUAAUAUGAUAGGUGAGAUGGUUUUCUUCUCACUCUAAUAUGCAAAUUAUUAUUCUCUUUAGGUAUGGACUAUGUACUAUUCUAUGCAGGAGUAGCAUUAUGAUGUAUGUCAUGUGUUUGUGUCUCUAAGUGUGUAUUGGUGUUAUUGUUUUUAAAAAGAAAUACCUCUUCUUGAAAA